UGGCGGACGGGUGAGUAACGCGUGGGCAACCUGCCCUGUACAGAGGGACAACACUUAGAAAUAGGUGCUAAUACCGCAUAACGGGGGGAGCCGCAUGGCACCCCCCUGAAAACUCCGGUGGUACAGGAUGGGCCCGCGUCUGAUUAGCUGGUUGGCAGGGUAACGGCCUACCAAGGCGACGAUCAGUAGCCGGCCUGAGAGGGCGGACGGCCACACUGGGACUGAGACACGGCCCAGACUCCUACGGAAGGCAGCAG
rnacentral:rRNA from 1 species